AAAAGAGAAAGAGAAAGGGAAAGAGCCGAAGUUCAAGCUGCAAGCGCCCUGGAGAGGUCGGUGAAAUGCCAGGUCACAAAGGGCAGGCCUGUGGUCUUGGCAGAGGUAUCAUCCUGUGUCUGUGCGGUGGAUGCGUGACCAAGAGGGGAAAAAGAACAGGUGAGAGGAGAUGACCGCCGUGUUAGGAGCCAGAGUGAGUCUCAGGAUUGUCAUCUGUCAUUUUCCCUAUUCAAUUCUUCGGGCACCUCUGUUGUAAAGUAUGCCACAAGCAAUAAUAUACUUGGACAUUUUCCACAUUGCUAAUCAGAGCUACCACUAGAUUUUCAAUGCUUUUGUUCAAACUAGAAGAAGACAUCUUUUUCUCAAAAUACCUGCCAUCUGUCAGAAAAUAUAUAUACUCAUCUAUAAUAACCUACAAUGUUGUUCUGGUGAUGAUGCACCUGGUGAGUGUGCAUAUGUCUCCUGAACCUGCUGAGUCUCCAUCACUUCAGGAAUCCCAUCUAAUGUGACGGAUACAUGGGUGAUUGGGGCAACAACAAUGUCAUCUUCAGAUGAACUAAAUAUAUUAUUAUCUAAUGGAAAUAAAAUCAACUAAUUAUCAACUUUGUAUUAUAAAUUAAAAUAAUUUCAUCAGAUAAUUUC